CUCGAAGCGCCCGCGGAGCUACGGGAGGCUAGGCAAGUACGGUUCAGACCGCCUCCUCAUCAAAAACAGCCUCUCUGGCGCCUUCCUGCUAGAUCGACCUUUCAUUCCUUGGAAAGAGUCUCGCACACUGUGUGAUCAUCGUUUGAGCCCAAAGUGCUAAAAUACAGGUGUAGGUGUUUGAGAAGCGCUGUAGUUGAUUAUGGACGAAAUGCCUAAUUUAAGGAGCAGAGGCGGAGUGGAAAAUGAAAAAAGCUUCACCGCAGUGGAGACUUGUUAACAGCCCUGGGGAGAAAGGGGCUUAACAGAGUCUGGAAAUCGUGAAAGAGCUUGACCGAUGAAAUGGGCCUGGCUGUCGUAUCGAUGCAGUUUCACAUACAGCUGGGUACUCCAAGUGUACAGUUCCCAUCAGCUCUAAUAUG
rnacentral:lncRNA from 1 species